rnacentral:rRNA from 1 species
AGUCGAGGGGUAUGGUUCUUCGGAACCAGAGACCGGCGCACGGGUGCGUAACGCGUAUGCAAUCUGCCUUUCACAGAGGGAUAGCCCAGAGAAAUUUGGAUUAAUACCUCAUAGUAUAGCGACAUCGCAUGAUGAUGCUAUUAAAGUCACAACGGUGAAAGAUGAGCAUGCGUCCCAUUAGCUAGUUGGUAAGGUAACGGCUUACCAAGGCAACGAUGGGUAGGGGUCCUGAGAGGGAGAUCCCCCACACUGGUACUGAGACACGGACCAGACUCCUACGGGAGGCAGCAGUGAGGAAUAUUGGUCAAUGGGCGCAAGCCUGAACCAGCCAUGCCGCGUGCAGGAUGACGGUCCUAUGGAUUGUAAACUGCUUUUGCACAGGAAGAAACACUGAUUCGUGAAUCAGCUUGACGGUACUGUGAGAAUAAGGAUCGGCUAACUCCGUGCCAGCAGCCGCGGUAAUACGGAGGAUCCAAGCGUUAUCCGGAAUCAUUGGGUUUAAAGGGUCCGUAGGCGGUCUGGUAAGUCAGUGGUGAAAGCCCAUCGCUCAACGGUGGAACGGCCAUUGAUACUGCUGGACUUGAAUUAUUAGGAAGUAACUAGAAUAUGUAGUGUAGCGGUGAAAUGCUUAGAGAUUACAUGGAAUACCAAUUGCGAAGGCAGGUUACUACUAAUGGAUUGACGCUGAUGGACGAAAGCGUGGGUAGCGAACAGGAUUAGAUACCCUGGUAGUCCACGCCGUAAACGAUGGAUACUAGCUGUUGGAAGCAAUUUCAGUGGCUAAGCGAAAGUGAUAAGUAUCCCACCU